CAGCAGCCGGGUAACACGUAGGGUGCGAGCGUUAAUCGGAAUUACUGGGCGUAAAGCGUGUGCAGGCGGUUUUGUAAGACAGGCGUGAAAUCCCCGGGCUCAACCUGGGAAUGGCGCUUGUGACUGCAAAGCUAGAGUGCGGCAGAGGGGGAUGGAAUUCCGCGUGUAGCAGUGAAAUGCGUAGAUAUGCGGAGGAACACCGAUGGCGAAGGCAAUCCCCUGGGCCUGCACUGACGCUCAUGCACGAAAGCGUGGGGAGCAAACAGGAUUAGAUACCCCGGUAGUCCCUGUCUCUUAUACA
rnacentral:rRNA from 1 species